rnacentral:rRNA from 1 species
CCUACGGGAGUCAGCAGUGAGGAAUAUUGGUCAAUGGGCGCGAGCCUGAACCAGCCAAGUCGCGUGAGGGAAGACGGUCCUAUGGAUUGUAAACCUCUUUUGUCGGGUAGCAAAAUGCGCCACGCGUGGCGUUCCGCUAGUACCCGAAAAAUAAGCAUCGGCUAACUCCGUGCCAGCAGCCACGGUCAUACGGAGGAUGCGAGCGGUAUCCGGAUUUAAUGUGUUUACAGGGUGCGCAGGCGGAAGAUAAAGUCAGCGGUAAACUUGAGAGGCGCAACCUCGUCGAGCCGUUGAAACUGGUGUUCUGGAGUGAGUGAGAGGUAUGCGGAAUGCGUGGUGUAGCGGUGAAAUGCAUAGAUAUCACGCAGAACUCCGAUUGCGAAGGCAGCAUACCGGCGCUCAACUGACGCUCAUGCACGAAAGUGUGGGUAUCGAACAGGAUUAGAUACCCUUGUAGUC